rnacentral:lncRNA from 1 species
AAAAUCCCAUGAAUUUUGGAUAAGAAAUGAGUGUGCUAUGAUUUUUGUAAGAUGGCCAUGGCAAAUGAAAUAAAAUGCAAAAUGAAAUGAAUUAAUUAAAAUUAAAACACGGAAAUGGCAAUUGUGUAAUUAUCUCGUCCCUUAAGUGAAACGCAGCGUUUCACUUAAGGGAAUGCUGCAAUAUGAUUGGUCAUGGCCCAAUAGAACAGUGACUCCAUGCAGAAAACACAAAAACACGAUCCAAAC